AGUGAACGCUGGCGGUAGGCCUAACACAUGCAAGUCGAACGGCAGCACAGUAAGAGCUUGCUCUUACGGGUGGCGAGUGGCGGACGGGUGAGGAAUACAUCGGAAUCUACUUUUUUGUGGGGGAUAACGUAGGGAAACCUACGCUAAUACCGCAUACGACCUACGGGUGAAAGCAGGGGAUCUUCGGACCUUGCGCGAUUGAAUGAGCCGAUGUCGGAUUAGCUAGUUGGCGGGGUAAAGGCCCACCAAGGCGACGAUCCGUAGCUGGUCUGAGAGGAUGAUCAGCCACACUGGAACUGAGACACGGUCCAGACUCCUACGGGAGGCAGCAGUGGGGAAUAUUGGACAAUGGGCGCAAGCCUGAUCCAGCCAUACCGCGUGGGUGAAGAAGGCCUUCGGGUUGUAAAGCCCUUUUGUUGGGAAAGAAAAGCAGCAGGUUAAUACCCCGCUGUUCUGACGGUACCCAAAGAAUAAGCACCGGCUAACUUCGUG
rnacentral:rRNA from 1 species